rnacentral:misc_RNA from 1 species
UCCGAGUUGACCCCGGCAGUCUCCUGCGAGUCCCCGCCAUUACGCGCUGGCAACACAGGACAAGGGUUGCGCUCGUUGCGGGACUUAACCCAACAUCUCACGACACGAGCUGACGACAGCCAUGCAGCACCUGUCCUGGUGUCCCGAAGGAGGGCCCGUGUUUCCACGGGCUUUCACCAGGAUGUCAAGCCCAGGUAAGGUUCUUCGCGUUGCUUCGAAUUAAGCCACAUGCUCCGCCGCUUGUGCGGGUCCCCGUCAAUUCCUUUGAGUUUUACCGUUGCCGGCGUACUCCCCAGGCGGAGAACUUAACGCGUUAGCUGCGACACCGAGAGGCAACCCUCCCAACAUCUAGUUCUCAUCGUUUACAGCUGGGGCUAC